AUAAAGUACAAUGUAUUAGAGUUCAACUAAGGGGACGUUUAGAUUGACGAAUAUGUAGAUUCAACAUAAUUCAAAUAUAGUGGUAUUUGAGUUUUCCUGAAGUGAUGUGAUUUUUUUUUAAUUGUUGUUUGUUUUGAUGUAAAUCGUAUAUUCUGAAAGUUAAAUUCAAUUAUUCCUUCUGUUUGUUUUGAUGUAAUUUGAUACUUGUGAAAUUAAUUUUUUGAAUUUCAUUGUUUAUUUUGACGUAAGUAAGUGGUUCCCGUUAUCUCCUAAAGAUAGUGGUAAAUUUACCGCUAUAAAAUUUAAUCUAUUAUAUAAUUAAAUUUUUUAUUAUUAUUUAAAGGUAAUUCUAAUUUAUUAUAAAUAAGGUAAUUCUAACACAUUCUAACCCAUUAUAAAGAAAGUAGAGUUUAGAUUUUACUAUUUAACAAAUUUUUUUGAGGAGGUUGAGUGUGGCGAAAGUCUGAGUUUGGCACUUUAGAAGAGGAAGUCGAGAGUAGGUGAAGUGGAGGUAUAACGUAACUUGAGUUAUAUUAUAUUUUUGACAUACACCAAAAUAAAUAACGGAAGUGAUGGAACUUGAGUUCCAUCCCUCUACUUAAACCAAAACAAACAGACAAGCCGAAAGAAAGUUCACAGUAAAGAGAUUGGGAUUGUUUAUUAACAGAACUGUAACCAAUAUUUUAAAAAUUAAACAGAUCGAACAACGAUCCGAAAAUAUUAUCAGAGGUAAUAAAUUCAACCAGUGACAUCAGCAUGACGUCAUAAAUAUUUAAUAAUUAUUAGUAAUUUUAUUAUAUAAAAAAUAUAAACACAUAUUAUUAUUCUAGUAUUAUAUUAUACUUAAUAAUAAAAUACCAAUUUAUAGAUGAAAUUAAGUAGAUACAAGUUUUCAAGUUUUACUUUUUAUAAGACUAAUUUAUGCUAAUAAAAAAUAAAACUAGUUAAGUUGAUUUUAAGUCAUUGGAUUUUAAUAAAACCUAAUAAAAAAACUUGACCGGUUUGAUUAAAACCGGACUGGUUUACCAGUUCAAUGGAUGAACUGCCGGUUUGAAUGUGUGUGUUGUGUAUUUGUACAUAGGGAUAAUUUCAUACCGUUGCCUAUAAACAUAUCGAAUAACAGAUAUAUCUCUAUAAAAUUCAAAUUUUUAUAUUUAAUCCCAUAAAAGUUCAGUGAUAUUCAUAUUUGCAGCUCUGGUUUAUUACCGUUAUAUUACUAUUUUAUUUUAUAACAGAAAAUAAGUGAAAUGAUAUUUUUGCCAUCACAAAUAUGUCCCUCCAAAGUCCCAACUGUUAGAAUUGUACAGAAAGGUCCACCCAAAAAUCUCUAAUGGUCAUCUUCUUUCUUUAUAA
rnacentral:lncRNA from 1 species